GUCCAAACAGGAUGCUGGUUGAGUAGUGCAGAUUAUUUGACAACCAUUACCUCUUCCUUGCCCCUCAGCUGCUUAUUCAGCUAAAGCUUUCAGGACCCUGUCUCAGAGAGGUAAAGAAAUGUAAAGAGGACAAGGACAAGGAGAAGGAAAGAAAAGAAGACAAGCGAAAAGAAAAGAAAAGCAAGCUAUUGGGC
rnacentral:lncRNA from 1 species